UCAAAACGACUCUCGGCAACGGAUAUCUCGGCUCUCGCAUCGAUGAAGAACGCAGCGAAAUGCGAUACUUGGUGUGAAUUGCAGAAUCCCGUGAACCAUCGAGUCUUUGAACGCAAGUUGCGCCCGAAGCCAUUCGGCCGAGGGCACGCCUGCCUGGGCGUCAC
rnacentral:rRNA from 1 species